ensembl:lncRNA
GCCUUGUUGCUUUUCUUAGAUUGUAUUUUUAGCAAUUAUGUGUCAGGUUUUGCAGUGCAGAUCGCAGGUCAGGGUUUAAGAACCUUUGAGAACUGCGCUGUCAGUCUGUCAGUAUAGCCUUCGCAACCUUGUAUGACACAUAACUGUAUUUUAGAAAAGGUGAGGAGUAUAGAUACUGCCUUAAAAUUAGUUGCUGGUGAGAUGUGGUCCAUGCAGGUUUCCCUUUGGCUAUAAAACCCCCCCCCCCAGAUGUUAGACACAAGUUAUCCUUCAGUUUGUUGUGUUAUCAAGUGAGUUUUGAUAUUUAUUUGUUUUUUCCUUUUCCUGGUGGACCUUGCUUUUAGUAACAAUCUUUAUUAUUUAGGAUGCCACUAAAAUAUUUUCUGUUUUCCAAGUCCAAUCUUUCUGUUUCUUGUGCUUAUUCUAAGCAAUGACUGUUUGAUGAUGUAGCUUCACUGCCUUUGUACAUUGGUGUGUUUGCGUGUGUGUGCAAGCAGGUGCAGUAUAGUAAUAACAUUAAAGGCACUGCAGGUGGCGCCACUGCUGAAUUUUUUUUAAUGCUAAAUUAGGAAGUGAAAAAUGACUUUUAAGAAAUAUUUAAGUAGAUAAAGGUUUAUCCAACAUCUUUCGGCUAUAUACUCGUACAGUUCCGGUUUGUUCAGAGGAUGAAGGGUUUUUUUGACUGAGUAGUGGGUCACUUUUCUUCCUCAACACUUUUCUUCUUCAACCCAGCAACCACUCUGGUCACUGUCUUUCAAGGCUCCUGUCACUUGACUCAUUGUAUGGAUAGGUGCACUAUGUAUAAUGUGUUGUGCCUGUAUACCUGCAUCCAUGUGGAGUGUGAGUGAGUGUGUGUGCCCCCCUCCACCUCUUCAUACCACAUUACCUCAGGGCAGUGAGCUGCGCUCAGUGUUGCAUAUGAUGUUGAAGCUGCAUUGAGGGAUGAAUGCUGAUAGAAGCUGUGGUCACUUCGCAGAAUGCUAUUUUGGAUUUGGUGUUUCUUUUCUUUUUGUUGUCAAUAACUGCAUUACGGCAAGGUCUCGUCACUCAGGAAGCUGUGAAGUUGGAAGUGAUCUGCAAGAUUUUGAACGACAACAGGUCAUGUGGAAUCAAGAACAUGCAAAUGUAAAAUUUUGGUUUCUUGGGCCUGCAUUUCAGCCAGUGGCGGUAGAGAUGUCAAAAAAUUCAAUUAUAAAUGCAAAACAUUGCUGUCAGACAUUUCUUCACCAUGCAAUGUUGAAAGCAUCUGACUAGCAGUGGUUUUAUUUUUCAGUAUGACGAUAAUCCCAAACACACUACCAACACAGUAAAAGCAGCCUAGUAAAAUCGUGGAUUGCCUCAAUAUUAUUCAGGCACUGUGGGAUGUUGAUAUCUUGACAGCAAAUGGAAUAAAAGUCAGCAGGCCUCCAAAGACGAGCGUUGAAUAUCCUUCGAGAAGCCUGAAGAACAUUUCUGAAGACAACUUAAACAAAU